rnacentral:lncRNA from 1 species
GGCAGUCUAUCUGCAGUGUGGCCUAUCUCUGCAUAUGUAGCUAUUCCCAUCCAGGAAGGGUGGACAGGACCCACAGCAGCUGCAUGUCCUGGUUGUGAUCUGUGGCCUCAGACACCACGAGGUGAGACGUGAGCCUCUAGAGGUCACUGGCACACCAGACCAGAUGGCAAGAGGGACAGGGCUGCUCUGGGCAAGGUUUUACAGCAAGUGCUGCAGAGUGCAAGGUGACUCUGCUGAAGUUCCUCUGGAAGCUGCAGUUUCUUGUGGACUCUACUCCCCCUCCAGACCUGCUGGUGGUGUUACCUCUUCCAUCUGCAGAACUGUUGCCCUUUCACCAGCUGCACUAGCAUCUGUAGCACCAGGAUCUGCUACUUUGCAGAAAACUGCCUUGUGGCCUGUAAGUGUAAGUAGCUCAGGUUAAGUGUCACUGUGUAUCAAUAUGAAAGCUAAAAAAAUCCAACUACAGUCUGCCUGGGGCCUCCAUGGGCCUUGUGCUUUCACUCUCAGUUGUAUUGCUUCUGUUUAUUGCGCUGUGAGAUCUAAAGUCUCUACUUGCAUGCUUUCCCAUUCUACAC